GUCAGUUCCCGUUUUAUCAUUAUUGGAAUUGAUUGGAAUGGCUCUUAGCUGAAGCUUCUCUCUUCUCUGAAGCUUAGAAAACAUUAUUCUGAAGACUGAACAACAAGGGAAGAGGUAUAAAGCUUUGUCAAGCUUGUUAAGGAGCAAUGGCUAAUAUCCAGCUAUCCCAAAGUGGUCCUCUUGGCUAUACUAACGGACUAGACUGGACAGUUUGAGACCACAGGACUGGAGUAUGACCUGCUCGUUCGAGCGUUGCUGGGUAGCUCAGAGGCAUCAAGAGAAUCUACGUUUUCUCAAGCAAAAUUUAACUGAGUUAUGAGUUGGGGCCUAGAAUCAGAGAAGUCCAGCAGCCUGCUAAGUCUUUUUGAAACGUAAUUUAAAGGCAUUCAAUCAUCCUGAAGUUGCCCUGGGUCACUGUAAUUGUGCUGCAGCACAACUGGCAGCUCUCUAUGUGUAUAUUUUGUGUACUCACUCUGUGCAUUUUCUGUGUACAAAUUUCGAUUAUUGAAUAUUUUUGCCGACCACAUAUACAAUGAAAAUUUGACGCAUGCACAGAUAACUAGUACCAGGCUAGUUGGGCGUGGCUCGACCGUCUCCUGACGGGAGGUCGGGUUGCAAGCCUAUCUGGGAUUUGUUCUAGCGCCACUAUAGUGGCGCCCUAUCAGAUUGCAGCAUUUUUCACGUGCUUGGUUACACUUCCGUUUGCAUCUAGUUGCAAAACCGCAUGCAGUAUGCUGUGGUUUACCCACGUCAUCAUGUCGGUUAACACCCACUUGAGAAGAAGAAUAUUCAUGGCAGUGUUACAUAAUGCUGCAG